GUUAAGGGAACAUCUGUCCAUCAGAGGAAACAUCCUGGGGUCUGAAAAUUAAAUAAAAGUGUUCAAUUUAAACUAUCUCUCCUUGCUUCCUCUGUAACUGCUUUAAACCUACCCCCACGCCAGCUCCUCCUGAUAUAAUGUCUGAUUGUACUUCUAUCAUAUGUGUUGUCACUGAUGCCUGCUCUGUUCAUUUGUUUUUUGCUGCUGCUUUUCAUAAAUGCACAUGAAACAGAGGGAAGGUGAGCUCUGCCCUCUUCAUGAUUUAGUAAUCCACAUGAGUACUUAGAGGGGCAAGAAGCUCUUAAAACUAUUGCAUGCAAACAAUAAAUUAGUUUUUAUGGCAGUGGUCGUGACCAAAACAAGAGUGGUGUUACUUAAUGCAAGACACAGAAAUAAUGAGGAGCUGCUGUGAUCAGCUGAAAGGCUGCUGGUUUAAUUAUUGUCUCCAUUCUCUUUCAAACCAGGCGGAGCAUUUAGACAAGUCUUUUUUCUGCACCAAAUGCUGCUUACUCUGCUGGCUGGUGAGUUUCAUAUCAUGUUAACCCUCUUGCUUAUUAUCAGGUUUGAAUGUUUCUCUGUGUGAUAUUUCAGCCUGACUUUAGGACACUUAAUACUAAACCAACAUCCUUCUUUGUUUAGUUUCUCUUUUAACCGUUGCAACAAAAGACCAUACAAUGUACUUAACUCCACUAAUUAUAAACUGCUUUGUGAAAUCUUGCUCUCAGGUGACCCAGAAUAAAUUUUACUGUAAUUCAUGUUUACAGAAAUUUCAUGAGUCUGAAGUCUUGAUCAUAGAUGAUAAUAGUGAGAUAAUAAUCACAAAUAGACUCAGAGAAUAGACACAACAAGAGCUGCAGCCUUUAAUAUUUACAGUCAAAAUAGACUUUUAAAUCACAUAGAGACAACAGGCUUGGACAGACGAUUUCCUGAUAAGGGGGAGCUGACCUUUUAAACAGCCACUCUGCACUGACUAUUUCUGUAGCAGACUAAGCAGUGUGUGUCUGAUAUCCACAUCAACCUGCAGAAAUCAAUAUUUUAAAUAAAUACAGAACAUUUAGUUUCUCCUGAGUUACAAAUAAAAGAGAUUAUACAAUAACAUGGGAAAAUUAAUGUGGAUCUACAGCCGUGUUGUCAGGAGACAUGGAAGAGUUUUUUCUACAUGAGUGGAUAACAUUUGACUCUUCAGUAUUACGCCAGACUGCUCUCCUCUGCCGCCCCCAAGUGGUGGAAUGAAUGACCAAACUCCAACAGAUCUGCAAAGUCUCUUUCCACCUUUAAAAAAGCUAAAGAGUCAGCUCUUUGGGGGACACUAACUCAGACUCCAAAAGCCAAACAGACCCCAAUGAUACCAGUAGGAACAAACGUGUUUACAGCCUGAUGCAAAACAGUCUCAUCAUAUUUUAUAACUCAUGAGUUUUGAGGCCAUAAAAAAUUAGUGGCUAUUAUACCUGUGAUGUUUGUUCCGGACUCUCUGACUUUUCUGUUUUGUCUGAAUGAAAAUGAUAGCAAAAGUUAGGAAAGUUUAUUUUAUUCUGGAUCAAGUUAUACCUCUCUAUUGACAACUCAUCUUUUCAAGAGUUUUACUACUCAAACUUUUCUCCUGAGCCAGUGUUGCAAUGACUCGCAGGAUUGGUCUCCAUCAAAGUGUCAUUACUGCCCGCUCCUCCUUAUAGCUCUCCUUUUUUUCUCUUUCUUCUGUAUCUGUAUCUCUAUCUGACUAAGACAUUAGCACACUUGUGGUUUGCAAGGAUAAGGCCUUGCUCAAUUUCACAUCUUUGCCUCCUGCAAAGUUAACAAAAAUUCAGGUUGAUUCAGCAUUUCUAACAAAGCAACUGCUGAGGUAAGGCUCAAUAAGAGCAAACAUCACUCAGAAUAUAUAUCCAUGUCUUAUAUGAUCUCUGCUGACAGCAUGCUGAAGGAACAGCCUUUAUUUACAAUAUCAACAGCAAAGACUUACAAAAAGAGACACAACUGACUGUUGGAGGCUGCAGGAUGGGAGACUUUCAUCAGAGUCAAACUCUAGCCUGUACAACACAAGAUCAGCUAAGUGAUAUGAUGCACAUGUUUGCCCACAGGCAGCACCAAAAUCAAGUCAUUUCAAAAGUCCCUUACAGUAGCUUUAAAUUUCUUUGUGAUCCAGAUCCUCAAAACUCUCUUUGAAAGCUGUAAACUGGAUUUCUCUCCUUAGAUAAAUCUGUCUGAGUCCAACAAGUCUGCGCUCCAGUUUCAUCUGGUGUUAAUGUUUAACCGCUCAGACUCUGAUAUCUGAGUCUCUUCUAACACACAUUGAUAUACAGCAGUCAGUGCUCAGGAUUUUUUUUUUUUUUAUGACACUUCGCGAAAGUGGUCAUCUUGGUGAUGAAAAGUUUCCUGAUUAAUUUUUUUUUUUUUCUGCAGCUCUCUCAGUACUUGGACUGAUAGAUGAAUAACUUUUAAAUUUACAGUCUCACUUAAUGUUAACACUGCUCUAGAGUUAAUUAAAUCUAUUGAUUAAGCCUUAAGCAUUGAUCAGGCAACUUUAUAACUUUAACAACUGAGCAUUUGCCAAACGUUCACAGUACAGUGGAAGGAAAUUAACUUUGCCAUCGAGAAAAAAGUGAUUUGUUUAAAUUAUGUUCUGGGUUAUAUUCUGUGUAAUAAGUUUCUAAAGUUUGUCCACAGCUCCAUUGGCUUUGCUGGCGGAGGCGGGAUUUAUGACCUAUACUGCAGCCCGUCACCAGAGGGUACUGUUCUCGGAGUGGCUUCACCCAGCGAGGAGGCAGACGGCGUCCAUUCUAUAUCCAGUCCAUGUAUUUUUGUAUUUUGUAUUUUUGCUGCUCUACGCUUCCAAUGCACAUUAAUCCACACAGACAGGAUCAUUCUAGACAGGAAGUCACGCACGAAAACUGCGCAUGUCAUCCGGUAUUUCAGAAUAAAACACUAUAUGUGAACUCCCACCUGGGAAUCAGUUUGUGUAGAUGACAAAUAGUUCCUGGUUAUGGAUUUAUCAGUAACAAUCCGAUGGUCUAUCUCUGAUCCAUGUGGACCCCAACAGGACUUUUAGCUGCUAACUCUGUCUGAAGGUAACAGCACAGCAUAAAGGAACAUAGUUUACUAUAUCAAGCACAAGAAAACCUGCAAAAACCAAAACUGUAAAAUCAUGUUCCUUUUUCACAUAUAGUAGAAGCUCAACUGUCACUGAAUUAUAUCCAAAUUAGCAGGAAAUAGACCACAGAAAGGUAAAACAACCUGUUGUGUGCAUGUUGUUUCCGCCUUACUGAGCCCAGCUGACUGGAGCUGAUCUACGCUGCUGCUACACUCCAAAUGAGCAUCCUGUAUGCGAUACCCAGGGCUGCUCUACGGAGCAAAUAGAGAACGCACUCAUUACGGAUACUGUAUGUUUUUUUUCCUCAGGAGCCUCUCCUUCUUGGUCAGGCUCUGGAACAAACUGGUACGUCUGGACCACAGCAGUUCUGUGAGCCAUACCUAGCACUCUGUGUAAACAUUAGCGCACAGUACCAUACUGCAAGCCACGCCCCCCUCUUCCAGAGAGACAGGAAGGGGCGUGGCUUGCGCUGAAAGGCAUGGACAGGCGCAGCACACAGAAAUGGUGUGUUCUCGGUAGAGCUCACUAGAGAGAGUUUUCAAGCUGACUGAAGUCCAGGAAAAAACUGGGUUCUUAGACAAACUUCAAAUUGACUGCUGUGGGACCUCUGAGACCUAUGUGAACCUGCUGAACCUGAUGAUCGAAUCAACAGCAGUUCAGUUUAAAUUGAAACCAUGAGAGGAUUGUUAUCCACUUUUUUUGUGGCAUUUUUUGUUAACUAACUAAAAACAGUAAAGACAGAAUUUUCACAGAUAAGAUUUGCUGUUUGACAGUAAAAGUGGUUUUCUGUCAUAUUUCUGUUUUUAAUGGUAGGAAAGAAUAAAACACUUAAAUUUCAAAUGAAUUUAUUUGAUUGUAAACUAACAGUGAAAUCGAAGAAUACAAACUGUGACGCCUUGAUUAUUAUCGCGCUGUGGUUGGACUUGAAUAGAAAGAAAUCAGAUCAAGCUGCAGUUUCUGAUAUCCAGAGAUAGCUCGUAUGAGUACUGACUCAUGAAACAUAUCAUAAUUCUACAUCUCCUUCUUAAUGUGACAUUGUGGCAUUUGCCGCACAGAUAACACUGAAAAGAGAGUUUACAUUUAUCCUCCAAUCACCUACUCUGAAAGUGUGUACAUGUUCCAUCAGCCGGACUUUGACCAACAUAAUGAUUAAAGCAUCACGACCUGCAUCUAAUACUUACACUUUUAUGAAUAAAUUUCUCAAUAAAAGUAGAAGAAGCAGAUACAGCAGGAUAAAAAAAAAAAAAGACUCUGGGCAGUUUUUAGCUGCAGUAGACUUUUUAGAUUAUAUUAGUAAGCUUCUUACUGACGGUCUUCUAUAUGAAAUUAGUUGGAGAAAAGACUUGAAGCUUUGGUUAACAGCUGAGAGCAGGUUGAGGUUGAGCAGAUUUAUGGAGAAAAAAACAGAGGGACAGUUAUGAUCUUUAAGAAUUAAGAGGAUGCAGUGGUUCUCAAGUCCAGUCCUUGAGGCCCACUGUCCUCAGCUCGUUAUCAAGCUCUGUAAUGGCUUAAUAACGAGCUAAUCAUUUAAAUCAGGUGUGUUGGAGCAGAAAAAAAAAAAAAAUACCUGCAGGACAGUGGGCCUCGAGGACUGGACUUGAGAACCACAGAUGUAGGUGAAGAGGGCUGCAGCACCACAGCAGCAGCAACAUAAAGUUACAGUACUCUGCUCAGGAAAAAGUUUCUUUCUCUUUGACUUUUUCAUAUUUAAUUUAAAAAACUGAAAUGCUGUGACAAACUUUAACCUGGAGCCUGAGACUAGAGGGCCUUUUGCAGAGGGAGGGUCUCUUGUAGUUUUGAUACACAUUAUGCAGAACUGAGCAGGUACAGAGCAGGAAACUUACAGAGAUUUAACAAAACUACCUGAAGGCAGUGUGACGCCUCAGGUAUUCAUCUUUAACUGAUGUGUUUUUGUUCUUCUCUGGUGUCAGAGAAUACACACUAAAAAAAAAAA
rnacentral:lncRNA from 1 species